rnacentral:rRNA from 1 species
UACGUAGGGGGCAAGCGUUGUCCGGAUUUAUUGGGCGUAAAGAGCGUGUAGGCGGCCAGGUAGGUCCGUUGUGAAAACUCGAGGCUCAACCUCGAGACGCCGAUGGAAACCAUCUGGCUAGAGUCCGGAAGAGGAGAGUGGAAUUCCCGGUGUAGCGGUGAAAUGCGCAGAUAUCGGGAAGAACACCUGUGGCGAAGGCGGCUCUCUGGGACGGUACUGACGCUGAGACGCGAAAGCGUGGGGAGCAAACAGG